GGUCCAGUAGCUUUGUUACAAAGCCAGUUCUUUUGAACCAGUCAAUCUUACAUCUGCGGGUUCUAAUCCCGCCUGGACCU
rnacentral:tRNA from 1 species